AUGUAUGCUAUAAAUACUACUCUUUCUAUGUUUAUACUCUGUACAGUGGUCCAAAGGAAGAUACAACUCUUAUUGUUUCCAUCCAAGUUAACAUUGUUCUCGAAUGGUAAUACUUUGUCACCCUACUAUAGAGUUGUUAAUGUAAAUGGUGCCAAGGUGAUCACUUGUCACCUCGUUUAUACCGUCCAGAUUCACUUCAUGACAGCAAUUUGGGACUGCCCAAGAACAACAAAUAUAGUAUUUUAUAUGUAUAAGAAAAAUAUUGUUACUGUCGGCUUUUGGCCUUUGGGGAGCAAAGAGACAUCCAGUCUCCAACUGGGGCAGCUUCUGUGUGUUCCAGGUCUUAAACUACCAUUGCAAUGUAUUCUUUGUGUCCUUCGAUGCAGAUUAGCUUGA
rnacentral:rRNA from 1 species